CUUCCUUGGUGGAUGCUUGU
rnacentral:piRNA from 1 species